UCCAAUCGAACUCGGAGAUAGCUGGUUCUCCCCGAAAUAGCUUUAGGGCUAGCGUCGGAUAUGUGUAGUGGAGGUAGAGCACUGAAUGGGCUAGGGGGCAUAUCGCUUACCGAACCUUAUCAAACUCCGAAUGCCAUAUACAUUUAGUCCGGCAGUCAGACUACGAAUGAUAAGAUCCGUGGUCAAAAGGGAAACAGCCCAGAUCGUCAGCUAAGGUCCCAAAGUGUAAGUUAAGUGGAAAAGGAUGUGGGAUUUCUAAGACAACUAGGAUGUUGGCUUAGAAGCAGCCACUCAUUUAAAGAGUGCGUAAUAGCUCACUAGUCGAGAGGUCCUGCGCCGAAAAUGUCCGGGGCUAAAACUUACCACCGAAGCUACGGGCUUGCGUAAGCAAGCGGUAGGGGAGCGUCGUAAUCGGGCUGAAGUCGUACCGUAAGGAGCGGUGGACUGAUUACGAGUGAGAAUGUUGGCAUUAGUAGCGAGAUGUAGGUGAGAAUCCUACAGGCCGAAUAUCUAAGGUUUCCUCAGGAAGGCUCGUCCGCUGAGGGUUAGUCGGGACCUAAGCCGAGGCCGAAAGGCGUAGGCGAUGGACAACAGGUUGAUAUUCCUGUACCACUACCAUCGUUAUUAUCGAGGGUGUGACGGAGAAGGAUAGUGUGUGCUAGCGAUUGGAAAUGCUAGUCUAAGCGUUUAGGCAGUUACGGUAGGCAAAUCCGCUGUAACGUUAAUGCUGAGGCGUGAUGGGGAAGGCCCUUGAGGCUGAAGUACAUGAUUCCAUGCUUCCAAGAAAAGCAUCUAGAGAGAGAAGUAGUGCCCGUACCGCAAACCGACACAGGUAGAUGAGGAGAGAAUCCUAAGGCCGGCGGAAGAAUUGCAGUUAAGGAACUAGGCAAAUUGACCCCGUAAGUUAGCGAGAAGGGGUGCCUGCGAGAGCAGGCCGCAGAGAAUAGGCCCAAGCAACUGUUUAGCAAAAACACAGGUCUCUGCUAAAGCGCAAGCUGAUGUAUAGGGGCUGACGCCUGCCCGGUGCUGGAAGGUUAAGGGGAACACUUAGCGCAAGCGAAGGUGUGAACUUAAGCCCCAGUAAACGGCGGCCGUAACUAUAACGGUCCUAAGGUAGCGAAAUUCCUUGUCAGGUAAGUUCUGACCCGCACGAAUGGCGUAAUGACUUGGGCACUGUCUCAACUGCAAAUCCGGCGAAGUUGUAGUGCGAGUGAAGAUGCUCGCUACCCGCGAUUGGACGGAAAGACCCCGUAGAGCUUUACUGUAGCUUAGCAUUGAAUUCCGGUAUUGUCUGUACAGGAUAGGUGGGAGACUGGGAAACUAGGGCGUCAGCCUUAGUGGAGUCGUCCUUGGGAUACCACCCUGACAGUACUGGGGUUCUAACAGGACGCCAUGAAUCUGGUGACUGGACAUUGUUAGGUGGGCAGUUUGACUGGGGCGGUCGCCUCCUAAAAAGUAACGGAGGCGCCCAAAGGUUCCCUCAGAACGGUCGGAAAUCGUUCGUAGAGUGCAAAGGCAGAAGGGAGCCUGACUGCGAGACCUACAAGUCGAGCAGGGACGAAAGUCGGGCUUAGUGAUCCGGUGGUACCUCGUGGGAGGGCCAUCGCUCAACGGAUAAAAGCUACCUCGGGGAUAACAGGCUGAUCUCCCCCAAGAGUCCACAUCGACGGGGAGGUUUGGCACCUCGAUGUCGGCUCAUCGCAUCCUGGGGCUG
rnacentral:rRNA from 1 species